rnacentral:lncRNA from 1 species
UAGUUUAAAUAAUUGAACCAUCUCUUUUUUUGAAACACACUUCAACUCCAUUUCUUUCACAUAGCAUCUUAAAUACUUUAUAAUGUCCUUCCUUUCAAAUUGAUUGAUCUUUUCUAUAAUUAUUUUUAAUGCUUUAUUUUCCAUAUCCUCUUACAAUCUUUAAUCUGUUGCUAUUCCAUGAAUAAAGUAAAAAUAACAAAUAUGCUUAUAAAGUUGAGAUCAAAAUACAUACCUUGUCUUUUACUAAUAUUACCUCUUAUAGGUCCAAUUGAAGUACCACCCAUAGCUC